rnacentral:rRNA from 1 species
GACGAACGCUGGCGGCGUGCUUAACACAUGCAAGUCGAACGGAAAGGCCCUGCUUUUGUGGGGUGCUCGAGUGGCGAACGGGUGAGUAACACGUGAGUAACCUGCCCUUGACUUUGGGAUAACUUCAGGAAACUGGGGCUAAUACCGGAUAGGAGCUCCUGCUGCAUGGUGGGGGUUGGAAAGUUUCGGCGGUUGGGGAUGGACUCGCGGCUUAUCAGCUUGUUGGUGGGGUAGUGGCUUACCAAGGCUUUGACGGGUAGCCGGCCUGAGAGGGUGACCGGCCACAUGGGGACUGAGAGACGGCCCAGACUCCUACGGGAGGCAGCAGUGGGGAAUAUUGCACAAUGGGCGGAAGCCUGAUGCAGCAACGCCGCGUGCGGGAUGACGGCCUUCGGGUUGUAAACCGCUUUCGCCUGUGACGAAGCGUGAGUGACGGUAAUGGGGAAAGAAGCACCGGCUAACUACGG